AUAAGCAUAGCCAAAAGUUUUUAUUUUGAAUCGACAACAGAGUCCCCUGCAAUAUAUGCAACAAACCCACCAAAACGAGCGGCAAUUCGUCAAAUCUUUUGUCGGACUUCAAAAAAAAACAUCAAGAUGCGUAUUUUAAUAAUGUAAUAAUUAAAAGCGCCGAUGUAUACUGCUGUAAGAAUGAAACAGCCCAGCAGCUGUGGACAUGCUACGUAAGUUGCAGGAAGAUGAUGGCAUAUCAGAUGGUCGGAUUAAGACACUGGUGCAAAGUGAUGAGAAAUGAUGAAAUUCUUGUCUAGAUAUGAUAACAUGAUUUCUAAGUCUAUCAAAUAAAAU